GAGUAAAAAAAAGCCAAGGCUAGAAAAAAUUAAAUAAAAAGGCAGCCUUCUUGAGUAAAAAAAAAAGCCAAGGCUUGAAAAAAAAUAUUGAGCGAAAAAUAGAAAUGAUAAAAGAAUGCUCAAAAGAAUAAGUUGACUUGGUUAGAUGGUCGAAAAAUCUCAUGUUUGGGGUGUUGAGCUGUGAGAAAUUUGUAAGCAUUGACUGAUAUGUGAAAGAUGUUGUGAUGGAUGUGCUAGUAUUUUAAGAAUGGUGGUAAGCUACUUUACCAUAUAUUAUCCCACCUUUACCAAAAGCCCCAUUACAACCCAAUGAAUAAGACCUUUUCAUUUAUGCAUCAUAUUGACUUGUGAGCGAUGAAUUUUGCUUGAAUUUGGGAGAAAGAUCUUAUGUGCUUAAAAUAAAGAAUAGCCGGAAGAACUUCUCUUUAGGAAUUAGUAACGAUGGUUUGAGACUCCCAAGACACAACUCGAACUUAUAUUGAAGCAUGGGAUGCCUAGGUCUUAGGGAAUUAGUUCGUGUACAAUUCUUGUUCGAAAGUUUUACCCGCGAGUGAAUUCACGGUCGACCUAAUUUCCCUACUGAUUCGUUGGCGUGACUUGAAUGAGAGGAUUAUCUAAUAUCUUCUGACUGUGCUUUAUUGUCUAAGCUCGAGGGCUAGCAAGACUUAAGUUAUGGGGGUGUUUGAUGUGAGUGGGUAAUUGUGUAACUUGUUCCUUGGAGUAUACAAUGGAAUGGAGGGUAGCGUAUUACUGCUCCAAGUCAGUUGUGACCACUUCGAUAUUAAGCUGGUCUUGCUGUGUCCAAAAUCUGAAGAUCACGAUACCAGGAUGUGUGGAAAGAAUUUCAAUUUGAGUCAGAUUAAAGAGCUGUGUGCCAAUCCUAUUGUAUUUGAGACGACUGAGAUAAUUUCUAGAGCAGUCAUUUCAGCUGGAAUCACAAACAGAGUUGACACCGAUGAAUAGAAUCCAUCCACUGAUACACAUCUUCCUCGAUUGAUAACCUCUCUGGAAAUGUUGUGAUACACCCAAAAUUUUAAUUAUUAUUCCAGCAGUUGUGUUUGUCUACGACAGUUUGAUCAACUAGCACGGGACCAAGUUUUCUAUAGAUUGCAAACUUGAGUUUGCUCGUACUGCUUGCUCAUCUAAAUUCUGCUGCUGGGCUGCGCUGCAAGCAAAACUCGUUCCUUUGUUGAGAGCUCUACUUUACUGUUGAUCAAGUUCCAGAGAUGUCCACUGUUCUUCAAUAACCAUGUUCGAGCCUUGUUUCCAUUCAAUAUACAUCCAAAACAUGUUAUCCCAGCUAGCCAUAUUCUUUCCAAGUCUCUUUUCUCAGCCCUCUUACAAUCACUGCUCUUGAGGGCAAAUAAAAUCAAACUCAGGGGAGAAAGCUUUGGUUCUGCUUUCGGAUAGAAGUGUAGUGACAGUUCCCACAGAAGACCUUCUACCAACCAAUCCUCGGAUACUUGACUAAGUUGAUGAUCUUCCACAACUAAGUUAUUUGAGCGUUUAGUUCUGCACAAUCUUCAAUGUAGAUAUUUACAAGAUAAUUUAAAUAGAAUGGCAGGCUCUGGAUUUUUGUCCGUCAAUCCAUUUAAAAAUGUCUAGCUAUAUGGGGAUGAUAAAGAAAGAAGCUUUUGGACACUCCUCAUGUUUAUGUUGUAGCUGAUGCGGCAUACAAUGCAAUGAUAGCAGAUGAAGUAAGCCUGGCUAUAAUUAUCAGUUUAAGCUGAAAAGGUUAAGAGAGUGGACGGAAGGGGCACAAAAUGAGGAAAUUGACUGAUAAGAAAGGAGGGAGGUGCAAAAAAAAAGUAAAAAAAGAAAGAAAAAAAGAAAAAAAAGAAAGGAGGUGCAAAAAAGAAAAAGAAAAAAAAGUAAGAUGGAGAUGCAUGCAAAAAUAUAAGAUAAAGCGUUGUUGGUGGAGAUGGAAUCAAGAACUGUUACAAGGGAGAAAAGGAGUUGAUAUAGGAGAGGAAUGAGGCUGACAUAGGGGGGGACAAGAUGAGGAAGUUGCCUGAUAAGAAAGAAGGAGAUGCAAAAAAUAAGAAAGAAAGAAAGAAAGAAGGAGAUGCACGCAAAGAAAGAAGAUAAAGAUCUGUUGGAGAGAUGAAAUCAACAACCUCAUGAACUAUUACAAGGGAGAAAAGGAGUUGAAGUAGGAGAGGAAUAGGAUGACACAGUUCUGAACAUUCAAGGGAAGAAGAGAAAACUGCCCAGUCUAGGACAUGCUCCAGAUCCCAUGACGUGCAGAAGCUGACCAACACAAGGUGACCCCCUUUCUUUUCUUUUAUUCUUCUUUUUAUUGGUUGGUCAGUGUUUUUAGUCUUCUUCCACACUAAGCCCAACUUGCAAGUAUGUCCUUAGUGGGAGGAGGUGUUCAUUAUUGUCUUGCUUUUGUUUGUAUUUUUGUGUAUAUGUUUUAGUAGCAAGUCGGACCUAGUGUACAUUCAAAGAUGAUUAUUCGUGCUUUUGUUUGAUGAGUUCAGUUUUUAACUACAUGACUCCAGUUGAGUGAUUUAAGAAUGAUGGAAUAUUGAGUUUAAGUUGGAUGAAAGCUACAUUACGUGAAAUUUGAGCCUUGAUGUAAAACACUCUACUUUAUUCUGAGUGACUUUAUUUUGCAUGUAUUCUUCAUGAGGUAUGGUCAAUAUGCAAUAGGCAUCGAGGGCAACUAGGAUAACCAUGUUUGAGCCUUGUUUCCAUUCAAUGUACAUCCAACACAUGUUAUCCCAGCUAGCCGUAUUCUUGCCAAGUUUCUUUUCUCAGCCCUCUUACAAUCACUGCUCUUGAGGGCAAAUAAAAUCAAACUCAGGGGAGAAAGCUUUGGUUCUGCUUUCGGAUAGAAGUGUAGUGACAGUUCCCACAGAAGACCUUCUACCAACUAAUCCUCGGAUACUUGACUAAGUUGAUGAUCUUCCACAACUAAGUUAUUUGAGAGUUUAGUUCUGCACAAUCUUCAAUAUAGAUAUUUACAAGAUAAUUUAAAUAGAAUGGCAGGCUCUGGAUUUUUGUCCGUCAAUCCAUUUAAAAAUGUCUAGCUAUAUGGGGAUGAUAAAGAAAGAAGCUUUUGGACACUCCUCAUGCUUAUGUUGUAGCUGAUGCGGCAUACAAUGCAAUGAUAGCAGAUGAAGUAAGCCUGGCUAUAAUUAUCAGUUUAAGCUGAAAAGGUUAAGAGAGUGGACGGAAGGGGCACAAAAUGAGGAAAUUGACUGAUAAGAAAGGAGGGAGGUGCAAAAAAAAAGUAAAAAAAGAAAGAAAAAAAGAAAAAAAAGAAAGGAGGUGCAAAAAAGAAAAAAAAAGUAAGAUGGAGAUGCAUGCAAAAAUAUAAGAUAAAGCGUUGUUGGUGGAGAUGGAAUCAAGAACUGUUACAAGGGAGAAAAGGAGUUGAUAUAGGAGAGGAAUGAGGCUGACAUAGGGGGGAACAAGAUGAGGAAGUUGCCUGAUAAGAAAGAAGGAGAUGCUAAAAAUAAGAAAGAAAGAAAGAAGGAGGUGCACGCAAAGAAAGAAGAUAAAGAUCUGUUGGAGAGAUGAAAUCAACAACCUCAUGAACUAUUACAAGGGAGAAAAGGAGUUGAAGUAGGAGAGGAAUAGGCUGACACAGUUCUGAACAGGCAAGGGAAGAAGAGAAAACUGCCCAGUCUAGGACAUGCUCCAGAUCCCAUGACGUGCAGAAGCUGACCAACACAAGGGCAAAUAAAAUCAAACUCAGGGGAGAAAGCUUUGGUUCUAGUUUCGGAUAGAAGUGUAGUGACAGUUCCCACACAAGACCUUCUACCAACCAAUCCUCGGAUACUUUACUAAGUUGAUGAUCUUCCACAACUAAGUUAUUUGAGCGAGCCUUUUGUUCUUCACAAUCUUCAAUAUAGAUAUUUACAAGAUAAUUUAAAUAGAAUGGCAGGCCCUAUAUUAUUGUCAGUCAAUCCAUUUAAAAUAUCCAGUUAUAUGGGGAUGAUAUAGCAAGUAGCUUGCUGAUGCAACAUGCAAUGCAACGAUAGCAGAUGAAGUAAGCCAAGCUAUAAUUAUCAGAUUUAUUUGCUACCACUUGGUUUGGUACUCUGUUUAAGUUAAAGGUGAAAUGGAAAGAGAGUGAAUGGAGGGACAAAAUGAGGAUGUUGGCUGAUAGAAAAGAAAGAGAUGCAAGCAAAGAAAGAAGAAAAAGAGCUGUUGGAGAAGAUGAAAUCAGUAACCUCAAAAACCGUUACAGAGGAUAAAAGGGUUGAAAUAGGAGAGGAAUGAGGCUGACACAGUUUUGGAGUUGCAAGGUAAGAAGAGAAAUCAAGACAUGCAAAUGAGAAUGUAUACUUGACAAGGGAAAACUAGUGCCAGCAUUGUGGAGUACCACUAGCUGACAUCACAUGAUCUCUCAUCUACUUAUGAGGGCUUGCGAUAGAGAAUGCAGCUUGAUUUUUUGGGAACCUUAGAUUCUAUCAGAAUUUGAAAAGAAGACUAGAAACAUGCCUUCGAGAAGCUUGCUGCCGUUUUGUGACUGAGAACAUAUCAUUUCUUGUAACUGAUAAUCAAAAGCACAUCAAGGUUGUUUCUGAUGAAGGUAUCUGCAUGUUCUAAUUCAUUAAUGCAUUAAUCAACUUAAUGUUGAUUGUUUUGAUUUCAAAUUGUGCAUUAAAUAUUUUAGCAUAACCCUUAUGAUAUAUGAAUUUUGUUAUUGGUUCUGAUGAAACAUAUUUACAAUCAAAAGAGUAUGAGUUGGAUGAAAUUGACUGGAAAAGGAUUUUGAAGACAACCAAGAUUUUGUAUGUCCUUUUGAGAAGGUAAUCAGGGUUCUUAUUUUUGUAUAGUAGGGUUUUCCUUUAUCACGCAGCAUUUUGAUUGACAUAGUUCUAUUUAUGUCUAUGGGUGGGAUGAGGAGAAGGCCACUAAAGCCAUUUUCUGUUAAUCAGUAACACAUUAUCUACUAAUUGUUAUUUUAUUUUUGUCUGACUUUUACUUGCAUUAGUUGAAUAGAUAUGUUUUUAGUAUCGAACAAAUUAUGUCUCUUAACUUAUGGUGUGCUUGAUUAGACAUGUAUUGGAUUCAUACUUAACAUUUGCUUGUAAACUUAAACAUCACUUCAGUACUAACCGUUGGUUUAUGGAACACUUUAUCUUGGGUUAUUUUUGAGCUUUAAUUGUACAAUGCCAAUUUGGCCCACAUCUGUAGAGGAGAGACUGUCUACAGAAUCAGCCCUACCUCAAUUCCUUGGAGAGGAAGUUUUCAAUCCCCAAGUAUAAAAGCAAUGCUCUGCCCUAAUUGAAGGGGACGAGCAACCGGUAAGGAAAAUAAAAAUCCUCCUUUUCCCUUUGAAUCUGUGACAGUUACAAUUAGUUAUAUUGAAUUCAUUUUCCACUUUUAAAUACUUGCUAGCUAGUAGACAACAGAACAAAGCUUUGUCGAUGUUUGCUUUUCUUUUCUCUACCAAAGAAUGGUUGAGUUCUUUUGUCGCCAUGUUGCUAAGAUUCUGUUGUGAUUGCUCCAAUUUGUUAGUUUAGAAUUUCUAUAAGUUUGUUGAGAAGAUCUAUUGAAUUUCCAUGUUUCUGUAUAUUUUUAUCAGCCUACCUAUGAUCUACUUGCAUUACUCUCUAUUUUAAGCACAUUAGUUUAGAAUUUUGCCAAGUUUCCUCUGCAUUUUUUUACCCCUUUAUAUAAUGUUUACUACAUGAGUUCUUUUGGAAGUUUUUAAAGAGUUUGUAUGCUCUUAGAUUAAGUUGACUGAUCUCCAUUUUCUAGCCAUGUUUGUGAAGUUUCCAGCCCAUUGUCUUUCAUGCUUCAACUUUUGUUUAAUGUCCACAGUUUCCUAAAUCAUGAUUUCCACUCUCUUUUGAAUCCAAGUUUAUUUAAUUUAGGUUAUAUUCUGUCUUUCAGUGUUCUCUUUCAAGCUUUCCAAAAGCAGGAUGGAAGUCUCGAUUUCCCACACUUAGUUAGAUUCAGUUUACGCUCUUAUUCCUAGUUCUCAUAUUUAAAAUUCUAGUUUCCCACAUUAGUGUUUAGGUCCACUUUAAUCCUUAAGGAAGUGGUGGCUUACACCAAACCUCGUGUAAGCAACUUCGUUGUUGUUGGGAAUAUGUAAGGUGCUAAAAUAUAGACCUGUAAGCAUUCUUUUUAAUGGUCAAGUUGAACCUUGAAAAGAUAUUAUUUUUGUCUAUUCUUAGUCAUAUUUUUCUGACAUGGCUUUGCUAUUUUGCGCACAUCCAAUGUUAUGUUCUUCAAUUAUGAGCAAUCCUUGAAAAGGUGAGUAUGCAUUUCAAUAUCAGUGAGUUUGUUCCCUAGUCUGCAUAUUUAUGAUUAACUGGAAUUGACAUUAUUCCAUAUUUGACCGGUAAAGAAUUGUUCAGUUGUUCCAAGGAGAGUGGCACUACCUCAUUUUCCAUAAGCUCUGCUCUGUUGUCCCUUCUGGUCCCCAAGGUUUGUACUCAGCUUUUCCCCAAUUAUUUAGUUUUCGACCUGUAUCCAAGGAGAGUGGUCCUAUCACAUUUUCUGUAAGCGAAUAAAUUGCAUAUCCAAAGUAAGAGCGAUCCCCAUAUGUGAAGGAAGUAGAAAGUUAGGGUUGCACCUGGAUACAAAAGGUAUUAUACUACAUCAAGAUUAUGUUUAUGCUUACCUAUUUAUUUAUCAAUCUAAGUUAAUUUCCCUAUCUACUGGUGUUACAAAUGCUACUUGCUUGACAGCCUUAUAGUGAGCAAGACCCGAUGCUUACAAUGUCAGCGCAGAAGGUAAUUGACAUAAGAUAUGCUCUACCAUUGUUUAUUUGUGUGAGCUUGUCCUACUGGCUUGUGGUGCAGAUCAACAUGUCAAUUCCACGGGGAAAGAUAACACGGAGUUAAGUUCCCACAGAAGACCUUCUACCAGCCAUUCAGAAGAUACUUGACGAAGUUGAUGAUCAUGCACAAGCAAAGUUAUUUGAACAAGCCUUCAGUUCUUCACAGUCUUCAGCAUAGAUGUUUACAAUUACUUGCAUAUACCUUAGUUUGUUCUCUUUGUUUGAGGGAAAGCAUACUUCCAGUGUGAGGAGGUUUGGUGAGCCAUAUUUGUGACACUUUAUCUUGGGUUAUUUUGAGCUUUAAUUGUACAAAUACCAACAUAAUUCUCUGAAACUUGUGUAGCAAAUGGAGGAAAAUGAAUUCACGGGAAAAUGGAGUUUGGAAAUAACAGAAAAAUGCUGCAAAAAUGAGCUAAAAGGGAAAAAAUGGGAGUGCUAAUAGAAGAAUGGUUGAAUUCUAUCGUUGCUUGUUGCUAAGAUUCUGUUGUGAUUGCUCCAAUUAGUUAGUUUAGAAUUUCUGAAAGUUUGUUGAGAAGCUCUAUUGAAUUCCAUGUUACUGUAUAUUUUUCUAGCCUACCUAUGAUCUACUUGCAUUGCUCUCUGUUUUAACCACAUUAGUUUAGAAUUUGCUAAGUUUCCUGUGAAUGUAUUUACCCCUUCAUAUGAUGUUUAUUACAUACUUCUUUUCGAAGUUAAUGAAAUCAAUUUCUAUGCUCUUAGAUUAAGUUGACUGGUCUCUAUUUUCUAGCAAUUUCAUUGCCGCUGGGAAUAUGUGUGGUGCUAAAAUAUAGACAUGUAAUCAUUCUUUUUAUGGUCAAAUUGAACCUUGAAAAGAUAUUAUUUUUGUCUAUUCUUAGUUAUAAUUUUUUGACAUGGCUUUGCCAUUUUGCACACAUCCAAUGUCAAAUUCAUCAAUUAUGAGCAGUCCUUCAAAAGGUCAGUAUGCUUAUCAAAAUCAGUGAGUUUUUUCCCUAGUCUUUAUGAUUGACUGGAAUUGACAUUAUUUCAUAUUUGACCUGUAAAGAAUUGUACAGGUUCCAUGAAGUGUGGUCCUAUCACAUUUUCUAUAAGCUCUACUUUGUGUCCUUUUUGGUCUCCAAGGUAGGCUGAGGUUAAGAAGUGCUUCUGAACGCAACUAUCUCAAUCCGAGUGAAUAUUUUCAGAUCCCAAACAUUGAUAAUGAACAAAAGCUUCACAAUCUUAUGGUCAAUGACAGGCCUUGAAUAUGCACUGUAUGGUUAGCUACACUCAUUUGUGUUUGUCGUACUCAGUCAUUAUUCAAGCACCCAACCACUUUUGUGUCUGGAGAGGUUUGAAUCUUUAGUGAAGAAACUGAUCUUUUUACUGAACUUUCUAAUCUUUUUUAGCAUAUUUAUUAAUUAUAGCAUAUGUUUCCACCCCUUAAGUAGCCUUAGAUUCUAUAAAGAUGACCAGGAACGCCUCAAAAUGCUUGCUACAGUUUUGUGGCUGGGAAACAAAAGCACAUCGAGGUUUUUCCUGAUGAAGGUAAAUGCAAUUCUUUUUCCCAAUCCUUUGUAAUUAGUCCUCAUCUUUUCAAAACUUCAGUUUUUGUUGUGUAUUAUAUGGGAGAUAAUUAGUUACAUUGAAGGGAAAUUCUCAUUGGGGGUCUACUAUGGGAAGUUG